rnacentral:lncRNA from 1 species
CCCAGGAGCUUUGUUGUUUUUAAGUUUUUUAAUGGCUGCUUUGAUCUCAUCAUCUGUUAUGGGUCCCAUUUCUAUUUCUAUUGGUGGUGGAGCUUUCUCUGUCCUGUCAACUGAGAUUUCUGGUUCAGGCCUAUUCAACACCUCUUCAAAAUGCUCUUUCCAUCUUUCCAGUUGUUUCUCAAAUUUGCAUAUUGUCUGACCAUCUUUAUCUUUGAUGUUAGUACUGUUGGUAUUUACUCUGCCACUAAGCUGUUUUGUAAUGUUAUAUAGCUUUCUCAUAUCUCCAACUUUAGAUGCAUUUUCAGCCUCUUCUGCUAUCUUAUCUAUGUAUGCCUUUUUGUCUGCCUUUGCAUUCUUUUUCACUUCUUUUUCCUUACUAUUAUAUAGAUCUUUCAUUCCCUCUUGUUGUUCUCCUGUUGCUUGGUUGGUUUUUGAUUUUAACACUUUUCUUUCCAAAAUUAGAGCCCAGGUUUUUUCAGAUAUCCAUUCCUUUCUUUCUUUAUUUUUGUAACCUAAGAUGUCUUCACUUGUUUUUAAAUAAAUUUCACUCAUAUGUUGCCAUUUAGAGCUUAUGUCAAUCUCAUUUUCUUCAAGUUGUAAGACCUCAAAUCUGUUCUUCAGUUCUAUAUUGAAGUUUUGUUGUAUUUCAGGUUGUU